UGGGGAAUAUUGGACAAUGGGCGAAAGCCUGAUCCAGCCAUGCCGCGUGUGUGAAGAAGGCCUUAUGGUUGUAAAGCACUUGAAGCGAGGAGGAGGGUACUGGUAUUAAUACUACCAGGUACUGGACGUUACUCGCAGAAUAAGCACCGGCUAACUCUGUGCCAGCAGCCGCGGUAAUACAGAGGGUGCGAGCGUUAAUCGGAUUUACUGGGCGUAAAGCGUGCGUAGGCGGCUAAUUGAGUCGGAUGUGAAAUCCCCGAGCUUAACUUGGGAAUUGCAUUCGAUACUGGUUAGCUAGAGUGUGGGAGAGGAUGGUAGAAUUCCAGGUGUAGCGGUGAAAUGCGUAGAGAUCUGGAGGAAUACCGAUGGCGAAGGCAGCCAUCUGGCCUAACACUGACGCUGAGGUACGAAAGCAUGGGGAGCAAACAGG
rnacentral:rRNA from 1 species